CACGUAGGGCGCGAGCGUUGUCCGGAAUUAUUGGGCGUAAAGGGCGCGUAGGCGGCCUUCUAAGUCGAACGUGAAAUCCCCGGGCUCAACCCGGGAACUGCGUCCGAUACUGGAAGGCUUGAAUCCGGGAGAGGGAUGCGGAAUUCCAGGUGUAGCGGUGAAAUGCGUAGAUAUCUGGAGGAACACCGGUGGCGAAGGCGGCAUCCUGGACCGGCAUUGACGCUGAGGCGCGAAAGCCAGGGGAGCAAACGGG
rnacentral:rRNA from 1 species